CUUCACCGAGCCGAUCCACAGCGGAGCGUCCUCGGGCCGUCCGGCGCCGUAGGUCUCCAGCAGGGCGUGUGCCUC
rnacentral:antisense_RNA from 1 species